rnacentral:rRNA from 1 species
GACGAACGCUGGCGGCGUGCCUAAUACAUGCAAGUAGGACGCAGUUGCGAACGGGUGAGUACCGCGUCGGUAACUGCCUAUUAGAGGGGGAUAACUAUUGGAAACGAUAGCUACUCCCGCAUACUAGUAGAUGGACCUGCGUUGUAUUAGCUAGUAGGUAGGGUAAUGGCCUACCUAGGCGACGCUACAUCGCCGACCUGAUAGGGGUAUCGGCCACACCUGGACUGAGACACGGCCCAGACGCCUACGGGAGGCAGCAGUAGGGAAUCUUCGGCAAUGGGGGGAACCCUGACCGAGCAACGCCGCGUGAGUGAAGAAGGUUUUCGGAUCGUAAAGCUCUGUUGUUAAGGAAGCGGUACUUAACCAGAAAGGGACGGCUAACUACGUGCCAGCAGCCGCGGUAAUUC